AACGAACGCUGGCGGCAGGCCUAACACAUGCAAGUCGAGCGCCCCGCCAGGGGAGCGGCGGACAGGUGAGUAACGCGUGGGAAUAUGCCCUUUGCUACGGAAUAGUCUCGGGAAACUGGGGGUAAUACCGUAUACGCCCUUUGGGGGAAAGAUUUAUCGGCGAAGGAUUAGCCCGCGUUGGAUUAGGUAGUUGGUGGGGUAAUGGCCUACCAAGCCGACGAUCCAUAGCUGGUUUGAGAGGAUGAUCAGCCACACUGGGACUGAGACACGGCCCAGACUCCUACGGGAGGCAGCAGUGGGGAAUCUUAGACAAUGGGGGCAACCCUGAUCUAGCCAUGCCGCGUGAGUGAUGAAGGCCUUAGGGUUGUAAAGCUCUUUCAGCUGGGAAGAUAAUGACGGUACCAGCAGAAGAAGCCCCGGCUAACUCCGUG
rnacentral:rRNA from 1 species